rnacentral:lncRNA from 1 species
GCAGGGAAAGGCUGAGGGACCGAUGGGAAGGCAUGAAUGAAUGAAUCUCCAUAAAGAGCCCCAAGCAGCAGGGAGAGGGAGAGAGGAGGAGGAAGGAGAGGAGGAGGAAGAGCCGGAGCAGGGCAGGCAGCAGCAGACGUGACGCCGGCAGCUUCAACUAUGAUCAGUGCAUAAAUCUACCUGCAACACAGGAUGUCGGAAAAUUACCGAGAGACAGCAACGUCCUCCCUGCUGCUUGGUGAGAAAAGAAGGAUGCACCUUCAGCUUAAAAACCGGGCUUGGUGAGCACCUCGUGGGAUCCCGAAUGCCGUGUCCAGCGUGCCUCCCAGCCCCUGAGGACAGCAGCUAGGAGACAUCCCGGGCUGUGCCUGGAGCCAGCAGCAGCACACAGGCUCAGAGGUGAGCCGGGAGACCAAGCGGGGACAGCCGAACACACGGAAGCACAGGGAGAUGGGGACCAGCGCCACAAUGUGCAGCAAAAAGAAAACAAGGAGAAGUACUAUAAAAAAUGAGAGGAAGGCUUAUCUCUAAGCCUGAACAACUCCU